UACAUGGGGUGCAAACGUUGCUCGGAAUUAUUGGGCGUAAAGCGCGCGUAGGCGGUUACUUAAGUCGGAUGUGAAAGCCCUCGGCUUAACUGAGGAAGUGCACCCCGAAACUGAGUAGCUAGAGUACGAAAGAGGGUCGCGGAAUUCCCGGUGUAGAGGUGAAAUUCGUAGAUAUCGGGAGGAACACCGGUGGCGAAGGCGGCAUCCUGGACCGGCAUUGACGCUGAUGAGCGAAAGCUAGGGGAGCAAACGGGG
rnacentral:rRNA from 1 species